rnacentral:rRNA from 1 species
GAAUUCGCCCUUAGAGUUUGAUCCUGGCUCAGAACGAACGCUGGCGGCAGGCUUAACACAUGCAAGUCGAACGCCCUCUUCGGAGGGAGUGGCAGACGGGUGAGUAACGCGUGGGAACCUACCUUUCGGUACGGAACAACAGUUGGAAACGACUGCUAAUACCGUAUACGUCCUUCGGGAGAAAGAUUUAUCGCCGAUAGAGGGGCCCGCGUUGGAUUAGCUUGUUGGUGAGGUAAUGGCUCACCAAGGCGACGAUCCGUAGCUGGUCUGAGAGGAUGAUCAGCCACACUGGGACUUAGACACGGCCCAGACUCCUACGGGAGGCAGCAGUGGGGAAUAUUGGACAAUGGGCGCAAGCCUGAUCCAGCCAUGCCGCGUGAGUGAUGACGGCCCUAGGGUUGUAAAGCUCUUUCAGUGGUGAAGGUAAUGACGGUAACCACAGAAGAAGCCCCGGCUAACUCCGUGCCAGCAGCCGCGGUAAUAAGGGCG